rnacentral:rRNA from 1 species
ACAAACUCCGAAUGCCAAUUAAUUUAACUUGGGAGUCAGAACAUGGGUGAUAAGGUCCGUGUUCGAAAGGGAAACAGCCCAGACCACCAGCUAAGGUCCCAAAAUAUAUGUUAAGUGGAAAAGGAUGUGGCGUUGCCCAGACAACUAGGAUGUUGGCUUAGAAGCAGCCAUCAUUUAAAGAGUGCGUAAUAGCUCACUAGUCGAGUGACACUGCGCCGAAAAUGUACCGGGGCUAAACAUAUUACCGAAGCUGUGGAUUGUCCUUUGGACAAUGGUAGGAGAGCGUUCUAAGGGCGUUGAAGCAUGAUCGUAAGGACAUGUGGAGCGCUUAGAAGUGAGAAUGCCGGUGUGAGUAGCGAAAGACGGGUGAGAAUCCCGUCCACCGAUUGACUAAGGUUUCCAGAGGAAGGCUCGUCCGCUCUGGGUUAGUCGGGUCCUAAGCUGAGGCCGACAGGCGUAGGCGAUGGAUAACAGGUUGAUAUUCCUGUACCACCUAUAAUCGUUUUAAUCGAUGGGGGGACGCAGUAGGAUAGGCGAAGCGUGCGAUUGGAUUGCACGUCUAAGCAGUAAGGCUGAGUAUUAGGCAAAUCCGGUACUCGUUAAGGCUGAGCUGUGAUGGGGAGAAGACAUUGUGUCUUCGAGUCGUUGAUUUCACACUGCCGAGAAAAGCCUCUAGAUAGAAAAUAGGUGCCCGUACCGCAAACCGACACAGGUAGUCAAGAUGAGAAUUCUAAGGUGAGCGAGCGAACUCUCGUUAAGGAACUCGGCAAAAUGACCCCGUAACUUCGGGAGAAGGGGUGCUCUUUAGGGUUAACGCCCAGAAGAGCCGCAGUGAAUAGGCCCAAGCGACUGUUUAUCAAAAACACAGGUCUCUGCUAAACCGUAAGGUGAUGUAUAGGGGCUGACGCCUGCCCGGUGCUGGAAGGUUAAGAGGAGUGGUUAGCUUCUGCGAAGCUACGAAUCGAAGCCCCAGUAAACGGCGGCCGUAACUAUAACGGUCCUAAGGUAGCGAAAUUCCUUGUCGGGUAAGUUCCGACCCGCACGAAAGGCGUAACGAUUUGGGCACUGUCUCAACGAGAGACUCGGUGAAAUCAUAGUACCUGUGAAGAUGCAGGUUACCCGCGACAGGACGGAAAGACCCCGUGGAGCUUUACUGUAGCCUGAUAUUGAAAUUCGGCACAGCUUGUACAGGAUAGGUAGGAGCCUUUGAAACGUGAGCGCUAGCUUACGUGGAGGCGCUGGUGGGAUACUACCCUAGCUGUGUUGGCUUUCUAACCCGCACCACUUAUCGUGGUGGGAGACAGUGUCAGGCGGGCAGUUUGACUGGGGCGGUCGCCUCCUAAAAGGUAACGGAGGCGCUCAAAGGUUCCCUCAGAAUGGUUGGAAAUCAUUCAUAGAGUGUAAAGGCAUAAGGGAGCUUGACUGCGAGACCUACAAGUCGAGCAGGGUCGAAAGACGGACUUAGUGAUCCGGUGGUUCCGCAUGGAAGGGCCAUCGCUCAACGGAUAAAAGCUACCCCGGGGAUAACAGGCUUAUCUCCCCCAAGAGUUCACAUCGACGGGGAGGUUUGGCACCUCGAUGUCGGCUCAUCGCAUCCUGGGGCUGUAGUCGGUCCCAAGGGUUGGGCUGUUCGCCCAUUAAAGCGGUACGCGAGCUGGGUUCAGAACGUCGUGAGACAGUUCGGUCCCUAUCCGUCGUGGGCGUAGGAAAUUUGAGAGGAGCUGUCCUUAGUACGAGAGGACCGGGAUGGAUAUACCUCUGGUGUACCAGUUGUCGUGCCAACGGCAUAGCUGGGUAGCUAUGUGUGGACGGGAUAAGUGCUGAAAGCAUCUAAGCAUGAAGCCCCCCUCAAGAUGAGAUUUCCCAACUUCGGUUAUAAGAUCCCUCAAAGAUGAUGAGGUUAAUAGGUUCGAGGUGGAAGCAUGGUGACAUGUGGAGCUGACGAAUACUAAUCGAUCGAAGACUUAAUCAA